rnacentral:rRNA from 1 species
GGGGAAUAUUCCGCAAUGGGCGAAAGCCUGACGGAGCGACGCCGCGUGGGUGAAGAAGUCUUUUGGGAUGUAAAGCCCUGUCAGAGGGGAAGAAAAAAUGACGGUACCCUCAGAGGAAGCAUCGGCUAACUACGUGCCAGCAGCCGCGGUAAUACGUAGGAUGCGAGCGUUGUUCGGAAUUACUGGGCGUAAAGAGUGCGUAGGCGGUUAUAUAAGCUUGAUAUUAAAGACUAAGGCUUAACUUUAGGAGUGUAUCAUGAACUGUAUGACUAGAGGCUAAUAGGGGAUGCUGGAAUUACCAGUGUAGCGGUGAAAUGCGUAGAUAUUGGUAAGAACACCUGUGGCGAAAGCGAGCAUCUGGGUUAGUACUGACGCUGAGACACGAAAGCGUGGGGAGCAAAC